UGAGGAAUAUUGGUCAAUGGGCGCAAGCCUGAACCAGCCAUCCCGCGUGCAGGAAGACGGCCCUAUGGGUUGUAAACUGCUUUUCCAGGGGGAGAAACUUACGUACGCGUUACGUAACUGACGGUACCCUGGGAAUAAGCAUCGGCUAACUCCGUGCCAGCAGCCGCGGUAAUACGGAGGAUGCAAGCGUUAUCCGGAUUCAUUGGGUUUAAAGGGUGCGUAGGCGGACUAUUAAGUCAGUGGUGAAAUCCUGCAGCUCAACUGUAGAACUGCCGUUGAUACUGAUAGUCUUGAGUUUGGUUAAGGUAGGCGGAAUGUGUAAUGUAGCGGUGAAAUGCUUAGAUAUUACACAGAACACCGAUUGCGUAGGCAGCUUACUGAGCCGACACUGACGCUGAGGCACGAAAGCGUGGGGAU
rnacentral:rRNA from 1 species